GGGGAUAUAGCUCAGUUGGUAGAGCUCCAGGCGGUGAUUUACCCUGUGGCGGAUGUCAGCGGUUCGAGUCCGCUUAUCUCCA
rnacentral:tRNA from 1 species